rnacentral:lncRNA from 1 species
UAUACAGAGAAACCCUUUCUCAAAAAACCAAAAAAAAAAAAAAAUUCCCCGCUUUUGCAGAAAGCCACUAUAUUCUCCUCUGGUUUUGUCUCUCUUACUUUAAAAAUGCCAUAAACUACAGACAGAAUGGUUGAAAGGUCACUUCUAAUUUAUAGCCUUUUAAGAAGCCAACAUGUACAGAGUGCGGUUUACUUUAGCAUUAUCUGAGCACCGCCUCCCUCUCCCAACCAUACAGAGUUUUCUGCUUGGCCUGGGAAGGCCUUGGGGAAUGACUGAGACACAGGAAGAGGGUAAGGAUCCAUGGAAAUGUGAGCUGAUGGAUGGGUUAUCCCACAGAUGGACAGAAGGAACACGGGCCAUUGGCUCCAGCCUCACAAGUAGGAACAAGUCAUUAGAUGUGAGUUAGGAAAUAUAUCAUUCUCAAAGAAAUAAUUAGAUUUUUUUUUCUCUUUCUGCCUGGCUCAGCCCCAAAGGAAGCUCAGGCCUCAUUUAAUUUCUUUCACGUAUCAGCUUUAAUUCAGGGAACUUCUACAGUCAUUUACAAUCUUUCAGUUAUUGAGAACGUCAAGCUACUAUUAAAGGCACUGUCCCACUUCCUGGGAUCCUCCUGUUGGCGCGUGAGGGGAUUUGUAUGCAGUGAAUGCAAGCCGUUGCUGCUGAGUAGAUUCACAUUCAACUUCUGAUCCAGGAUUCACAUCACACAUUGCUCUCCCCUCCUGAAGUUGCUUUAGAAGAUAGUUCUGUUAAGAGCUAUCACGAGAGACAGGACGAGGGUUAAAACAAAACAAAAGAAGGCCGUUUCAUGAUCUCGUCAGAGGCACAGCAACUGUGGUCACCCUGCUCCAGAUGUUCCUGUCACCCCUCCACUCCUUGUGCAUAGCCAUCGGGCUCAGACACACACAGGGUCUUAGGGGAGCAUCCACAAACUGACAUGGAGACACCUAGAGUAGAAUGCACAGAAGACACUGCAAGGGUGCUUGUCCUGUGUGGAGCCUGUGAUUGCUUCUGCGGUCAAGCUAGCAGGGCAGUGGUGAACUAGCAGGACAGUGGUGAGCUAACGGGGCAGUGGUGAGCCAGGGUGUUGUGUCACCUCAGGUUCACUGGGCUGGCCCAGUGGGGUCUUUACAGUUGGGCUCUAGAGCUGAAAGACUGUUCACAACUGGCCAGAGCAGUCUCCCUAGCAAGAGCUCAUCAAGACGACCAACGUGAAAGUGAAGGUCCUGGGGAAGCAGCUCCUGUCCCCAGGAUGCCAGUGGUGAGCUGAAGUGGCAGACACCAGGAUGGGGAUGUGUGGAGCCACAGUGGGUGCCUUGGUGUGGAUGUGCAUUGUUGCUUGUGUUGGGCUCAUGAUUUGGAGGAAACCCGUGGGCCAGAUUGUUCUGUGGUGCUGUUCUUGAAUCACUUGUGCAGGUCUCAGAUAGUACCUGAGCCUCGGCCAAGAGUCUCUGUGGUUUCUCUUGGGACCAGGUGGGUUAUGAUCACAUGCAUUGCGUCGUAGGCCAGGCUCGUGUAUGUAUGUAUGUGUGUGUGUGUGUGUGUGUGUGUGUGUGUGUGUGUGUGUGUGUGUGUGUCCAUGAGUCCCAGAGCUGCCCUCUGAUUACACUUGGCCCAGGCCAGCCUGCAGCCCCUCUUUGGUGAGUCAUUGUUAAACAUUAUAAACACAGGAUAGCCCUGAGAUGAACCUCUCUGGGCACAGGGCUGGGAACUUGCUCUCAGAACACAUAGUCUUUGAGAUGCCGAGGGUCGCACCCAGAAUCCUCAUGCUUACAUUUAUUAGCAGAUAUCCUUAGUUCAUGCUAAGCAAGCAUUUUACCACAGAUCUACACCUCCAGCCAUUUUAUUCCUUUUGACACAGGUCUUACUAAAUUAUCCAGGAUGCCCUUAAACUCACUCUGCUUGGCCUUGAAUUUGAGAUUAUUCUUCCUGUCUCCAGAGGAGCUGGGUCAGAGCAUACUGGAGGACUCCUGCCGCUCAGAACACACUACUGCUGAGUGCCUUUGUAGGACUCAGAUUCCCCACAGUGCAGGCGACUGCUGUUCACAUCACUGCCACUUGCCUCUGAACCAUGUCUGGAGGGCUAGACUGACUCCAUCCUUCUAAAUGUCUGGUUCCAGCCAGUUCUUUCUGGGUGAGCCUGGAGCACGCCUCAUGCCCCUUCCUGAGUGGCUUACACUGUCCAGUGUAAGUAUAGCCAUGCUCAGUGGACCUUGAGGCAGUCCUCAAGGGGAGGAUGACAGCCUGUGACAGGCGUGACAGCUGCUGCUUACUGACCAGGAGAUCAAGUCAGGGCACUUGACUGAGCGCUGUGCAGUCAUCACCCUUAGACAAGUCCUCACAGUGGUGCUAUAAGUAGGCCAAAGGAGAACUCUCUGGCUCACGUAUAAACAAGGAGGCAACCAGGUGUAAUCCCAGCACUUUGGAGGCAGAGGCAGGCAGAUUUCUGUGAGUUCAAAGCCAGCCUGAUUUAUGGAGUGAGUUCAAAAACAGUCAAGGCUACACAGAGAAAUCCUGUCUUGGAAAACAGCAAACAACAACAACAACAAACUCAACCAAAACCAAAACCAGGGAAGCAGCCACGAUAAUUGCUUUUGGCUGCAAAAACAAAACAAAACAAACCCCAUAUUUGAGCCUGUUGCUUGCCUCUCAUAGAGGUGUGGAGUUCCUCGUUAAAUGGGCCACAGACAGUGGGAAGCAAAGGCACAGAUGAGCCUCUGUGUCCUUCCCUAACUGAGUAUUGGACCUGACCUGGCCAUGUCUAGCUAAAUGACUGUGGGAGGUCAGCUCUUCUCCCAGCUGGUCAAGGACCCAGCUGGUCAGUCCCUGAGGUCUCUCAUGACCUCCCAAGCCCACAGCUUUGCAUACCCUUCCUGUCAGGGAGGCAUCCAGGGUCCUCAUUGCACCUGUGGAACCCAUCAUCACAUUCCACUCGUUCCUGCCGUCCUCCCUCCGACCGUGAGGUUUGAGGAACCUGUUAUAUCUGGCUUUUUCAUAAACACUUGCCUUUUAGGACAUCAGGGAAAUACAAGAACUCCAUGUUGGAAACCUCAGAGGAGGGACAGGUUCUCCCUGACUACCACAGUGCUUCAGGCACGGCCUCUACUGU